rnacentral:rRNA from 1 species
AUUACGUUGUCAGCGAGUCAUGUCGGAUACUCUAAUGGGACUGCCGGUGACGGGCCGGAGGAAGGUGGGAUGACGUCAAGUCAGCAUGGCCUUUAUGUCCAGGGCCACACACGUGCUACAAUGGACGGUACAGAGGGACGCAAGACCGCAAGGUGGAGCAAAUCCUCAAAACCGUUCUCAGUUCGGAUUGUAGGCUGCAAUUCGCCUACAUGAAGCUGGAAUUGCUAGUAAUCGCAGAUCAGCUACGCUGCGGUGAAUACGUUCCUCCGGGCCUU